UACGGAGGGUGCGAGCGUUAUUCGGAAUUACUGGGCGUAAAGCGCGUGCAGGCGGGUGGAUAAGUCUGAUGUGAAAGCCCUGGGCUUAACCUGGGAAGAGCAUUGGAAACUGGUAUUCUUGAGUACUGGAGAGGAAGGGGGAAUUCCAGGUGUAGAGGUGAAAUUCGUAGAGAUCGGGAGGAAUACCAGUGGCGUAGGCGCCCUUCUGGACGGUAACUGACGCUGAGACGCGAAAGCGUGGGGAGCAAACAGG
rnacentral:rRNA from 1 species